AAAUUUAAAUAUAGUUUAUAUGAAAAUUUUUUAAAUUUUCUUUAUAUUGUAUAAUGUAAAUUUUUUUUAUUAAAAUAGAAGAUAUUUUUAUUAUUUUAAAAUAAUAAUAUAGAAAUUUAAAUAUUAAUUUGGCUAAACUUGUGCCAGCCGCCGCGGUUAUACAGGUGAAUUAUUUUUUAUAAAAUUAUUUAUAAUAAAAAUUUUAUUUUUUUUUAAAGUUUAUUAAGGUGAAAUUUAUAACUUUAUUUUUAUAAAAAUUUGAUUUUAUAAAAAUUUAAUUUUUAAACUAGGAUUAGAUACCCUAUUAUUUUAAGCUAUAAAUUGUUAGUAAUUAAAAUUUAUGAAAUCAUAAGAUUUUGGCGGUAUUUUAAGCUUUUUAGAGGAAUUUGCCCUGUAAUGGAUAUAACACCUAAAUCUUACUUAAUUUUGUUAAAACAGUUUGUAUACCACUAUAUUAAUUAUAUUGAAUAAUUAUUAUUAAUAUUUUUAUAUAAAAAUAGAUAUUAAGUCAAGGUGCAACAUAUAAUUAUGAAUGAGGUGAAUUACAUUAAUUUUUAUGAAAUUUUAAAUGAAAAAUUUUUUAGGAUUUAAAAGUAAAAUAUUAAUAUUAUGAAUAUUUGAAAAGAGCUCUGAAAUAUGCACAUAUCGCCCGUCGCUCUCAUAAUUGAGAUAAGUCGUAACAAAGUAAAAAUACUGGAAAGUGUUUUU
rnacentral:ncRNA from 1 species